AUUGAACGCUGGCGGUAUGCUUAACACAUGCAAGUCGAACGCUGAAGGGUGCUUGCACCUGGAUGAGUGGCGGACGGGUGAGUAAUGCAUAGGAAUCUGCCUAUUAGUGGGGGACAACGUGGGGAAACUCACGCUAAUACCGCAUACGAUCUACGGAUGAAAGCAGGGGACCUUCGGGCCUUGCGCUAAUAGAUGAGCCUAUGUCGGAUUAGCUAGUUGGUGGGGUAAAGGGCCUACCAAGGCGACGAUCCGUAGCUGGUCUGAGAGGAUGAUCAGCCACACUGGGACUGAGACACGGUCCAGACUCCUACGGGAGGCAGCAGUGAGGAAUAUUGCGCAAUGGGGGCGAACCCUGACGCAGCAACGCCGCGUGAGUGAGGGAAGGUUUUCGGACCGUAAAGCUCUGUCGAGCGGGAAGAAAUGCAUGGUGGCUAAUAUCCAUCAUGCUUGACGGUACCGCUAAAGGAAGCACCGGCUAA
rnacentral:rRNA from 1 species